UUACCCUGGUUACCACAGGAAGUGAAGUGGGGAGGGUGUAGGUGAAGCCACUGCCCAAGGUCUCUUUGGCUGGGAUGUUUCAUCUCAGCAACAGUAAAAGAGCUAGAAUGAUGGAGAAACUCCAACUUGUCAAAAUACAGAAAAGUGCUCAGCUGCAUCCCCGGGCUCAGGAAACAUGGCAGAGGUUUCUAAGAGAGAGAGUGUCACAGCAGACUUCUUUCUGGUACCUGGUUCCUGCACUCUUGUGAAGAUAGAAAGCGUGUUAUGCAAACAGCAGAGGUGAGUGACGCAGCCAACCUCUUCAGAAACACUUUAUCCAGAAGACCGUCUCAUCAAAACUGCUGAGGUGACAGGUUCACAGCAACGAACAC
rnacentral:sRNA from 1 species